UUGGGGAGGCUCUGCUUCAGCUGUGGGGUCAUAGAAGGCAGGGCUCAGGGAUGGUCUCCACCAUGGUCUGGUCCCCUCUCCUGCUCACCCUCCUGGCUCACUGCACAGGGUCCUGGGCCCAGGCUGUGCUGACUCAGCCGACCUCAGUGUCUGGGAACCCAGGAGAGACCAUCACCAUCUCCUGCACUGGAAGCAGCUCCAACAUCGGGGGUGUUUACUAUGUGUUCUGGCACCAACAGGUCCCAGAAAAACCCCCUAAAACCGUGAUCUAUGAUACCAGCAGCAGACCCUCGGGGAUCCCCGACCGGUUCUCUGGAUCCAAGUCUGGCAGCAUCGGCACCCUGACCAUCACUGGGCUCCAGGCUGAGGACGAGGCCGAUUAUUACUGCUCAGCAUGGGACAGCAGUAUCAGUGCUCUCACAGUGCUGCAGGGCCAUGGGGAAGUGAGACAAAAACCUGCUGUCCCCUGGGGUUGGGGUUUGUGUUCCCAUUCAAGGCACAUGCCUAGGUCAUCAGUUCGAUCCCUGGAUCAGCUGGGCUGGCUGGCUGUUUACUUCCUGGGAGGACUGGGCAGGUGCGUCCUCUGUGGGCAUGUGAGUCCCCUGCACGUGGGCCUGAGUGUGGUUCCAGCAGAUGCUUCCCCCCGACCCACCCACAGGGAAACCAGCACAUGA